GAGAGAGAGAGAGAGAGAGAGAGAGAGAGAGAGAGAGAGAGAGAGAGAGAGAGAUUAUUAUUAUAGUUUAUUGACAGAAUUUUGCGAUUACAAGAAGCUUAAAGUAAAAAUCAUUUCACUAAAAGAGAGAGAGAGAGAGAGUCUUGAUAGAGAGUCUUGAUAGAGAGAGAGAGAGAGAGAGAGAGAGAGAGAGAGAGAGAGAGAGAGAGAGAGAGAGAGAGAGAGAGAGAGAGAGAGAGAGAGAGAGAGAGAGAGAGUCUUGAUAGAUAAUAUUGAGCACAGUCUUCACCGCUGGGUCGACUGUGGGGGCUGCGCUAUUCCGGUUGGUGGCCGGUUGGUGGCCGUGGCUGUUCACGCACUAGCUCUUGCUGUGGCUGGCAUGCUGUUCUGUCCUCUCUUGUUCCAGGAAUUGCUGUCUGAGGUGUGUGUGUGUGUGUAGAAGCCACCAUCAUCAACCACAGCAGGUGAUAAUGAUGUUUCCUGCUUUCAUCCUCAUUGGGGCUAGCCAGACCAACUUGGGGCUGUACUGGGGUGACGCUGUGUGCCUCAGGUGUAUCUGGAGGGCUGAGAUAGUGAGAAGAUUACCUUGUUGUUGAUGUGCAGUCUUGCUAUGUGGGCGAUGAACACCUCUGGGACAUGACGAGCAGAUGCCCAUCCAGCACAGCUCAACUUGUAUGGAAUCUGGACCUGGACCAUCACAUGAAUGCCACUGCCUUUGAUAUGUGUUUGAUAUGGCUUCUAUUGCUUUCAAGUGACCAUCUGCCUCUGUGAAAUAUGGAAGAUCUUACAAGGUCAAGCAUAAUAUUAAGCAAGUGAUAGGAAUGGUGAUAUGAGUGUGGUGUGUCUGAAUUAGCUGUCAGAGUAUUGUAAAUAUUAUUACUUAGUCUUCCCAGUUAUGAAAUUAAGAACAGUUGUGAAGUUUGCUUUAAAACCCUUCAUUAACUUUGCCACAAAACACUUUUACAUGUUGUCAAAAGUGUGUAACUGUUAUGAAGUGUGUGUAUAUAUCAUUACUACAGAAGAAUCUGGAAUUUCCCCUCAGAUUACUUUAAUGAAUGAAGCUUGAGUUCACAGAUGUGUGGUUAGGUUAGGUUAGGUUAGGUUACACAACCAAAACCACUCAAAAUUAUACAUUAAUUUUUUUUAUAGAGCAACAUGUGUGGAAAGUGGUACCAGAAAUAUUUGCAUAACAAAUAUUUGGUUGUGGACCUUAGCACUUAUACAGUACUGCACUAACUUACACACAUGGUUAAUUAAUGAUGUAAUACUCAGGUGAAGCUGGAUUUUCAAAAGACUGAUCAAUAUUUUUUCCCAGAUGUCAUUUUUAUGCAGCUGACUGAAGGAGAAAACAUUGCAAAGGUCACACUAUUCUUAAAUCUUACUAAAAUGUAUGCGCAUCACUUUCUGCUUUCACCCCAAUGGCACACCAACCAAAAUUCAUGGGUAUGGAGAUGGCUGGACUAGUUCCUGUGGUCACCCCUCUUAUAUCUUAAUUUGCCACUGUCUUCCCUGUGUGCUGGUUAAGUUCCUGCAUAUUGCAAUACUUAAUCUACUCACUGCUGAAGUCCCUGGAAACUAGGUAGAAUAAUUUAGAAUGACAUGGUUAAGUUAAUGCCUAUAAAAUCUCAUUUGUAAUAUUCAGGAAGAUUGAAUUAUUCUUCCUCUGUUGAAGCAAAUGAUAUGACAUUGACUAGAAGCUUUCACAAUAUUUAUAGACUUUCUUGUAUCAGCGAUCUUUUGGAAAUGCAGCCAUUAAUCUGUAAAUACUUGUAUAGUGUAGCUGGCAUGAAGGUUGCAGUCUUCAUGAUGUACUAGUGGACAAGCAGGAAGUGAUGGUGUUGAGCCACUGUAGUAGUGAUGUUAUGGUAGGAAGUUACUGUCAAGAUCAGGACGUCUGCAAGUUCAAAUGGUCACCUAACAAUUGCACCUUAGUAGAAAAACACACACAGGAAGUUUAUGCAAGUUUUUAUCCUUAUAUGAAAUGUUGCUAGUGUUAACAUAUAAAAUUGUAUUGCAUCAAACCCCCAUACAUUACUGUCUCUAUCCAGUAUGAGACCGGUGUUCAGGAUAACAAGAAGCCGGCAUUGCUCAAGCUGACCACAUUUCAUCCAUUUAUACAUACUUUUUAUUAUUAAAGCUUAUCUUGUAAUUAUUGCUGAAGACAUUGACUCAUUUAUUUAUUUAUUUAUGACUUAGAACUAUGAUAAAGCUAUGGAUUGAUAUAAUUCCUGAUUUGUUUCCAUUCUUGUCUCCGCUUGUCCAUCCCUGAGUGGUCAGAAGCGGUGCUCCACUGAUGAUGUGGAAGCCUGAGACAGCCAAUCAUUUAAUGGGCUAGGUUACCUUUUGUCACCAGUCUUCUGUGUGUCACUCACUACGUUUGGAAAUGUUUACCUGUUCUAUUUAAUUUGUUGGUUAUAAUAAUGUUUAUGGUCAAUAAACUAUUUAUAAAACUAUUUAUCUGUGUCAGUAUGAUAAAAGCAGUUAUUGUUGUUAUUGUUAUUAUUAUUAUUAUUAUUAUUAUUAUUAUUAUUAUUAUUAUUAUUAUUAUUAUUAUUAUUAUUAUUAUUAUUAUUACACAUUUUCCUCCUUGUAUUUAAAUAUUAUUAUUAUUAUUAUUAUUAUUAUUAUUAUUAUUAUCAUGCAUUUUUCUUGUAUAUAAAUAAAAUAUUGUAACUGAU